GAUUAAGUUAUUAAGGGCGCACGGUGGAUGCCUUGGCACUAGAAGCCGAUGAAGGACGUUACUAACGACGAUAUGCUUUGGGGAGCUGUAAGUAAGCUUUGAUCCAGAGAUUUCCGAAUGGGGAAACCCAGCAUGAGUUAUGUCAUGUUAUCGAUAUGUGAAUACAUAGCAUAUCAGAAGGCACACCCGGAGAACUGAAACAUCUUAGUACCCGGAGGAAGAGAAAGAAAAUUCGAUUCCCUUAGUAGCGGCGAGCGAAACGGGAAGAGCCCAAACCAACAAGCUUGCUUGUUGGGGUUGUAGGACACUCUAUACGGAGUUACAAAGGACGACAUUAGACGAAUCAUCUGGAAAGAUGAAUCAAAGAAGGUAAUAAUCCUGUAGUCGAAAAUGUUGUCUCUCUUGAGUGGAUCCUGAGUACGACGGAGCACGUGAAAUUCCGUCGGAAUCUGGGAGGACCAUCUCCUAAGGCUAAAUACUCUCUAGUGACCGAUAGUGAACCAGUACCGUGAGGGAAAGGUGAAAAGCACCCCGGAAGGGGAGUGAAAUAGAACCUGAAACCGUGUGCUUACAAGUAGUCAGAGCCCGUUAAUGGGUGAUGGCGUGCCUUUUGUAGAAUGAACCGGCGAGUUACGAUUUGAUGCAAGGUUAAGCAGUAAAUGUGGAGCCGUAGCGAAAGCGAGUCUGAAUAGGGCGUUUAGUAUUUGGUCGUAGACCCGAAACCAGGUGAUCUACCCUUGGUCAGGUUGAAGUUCAGGUAACACUGAAUGGAGGACCGAACCGACUUACGUUGAAAAGUGAGCGGAUGAACUGAGGGUAGCGGAGAAAUUCCAAUCGAACCUGGAGAUAGCUGGUUCUCUCCGAAAUAGCUUUAGGGCUAGCCUCAAGUGAUGAUUAUUGGAGGUAGAGCACUGUUUGGACGAGGGGCCCCUCUCGGGUUACCGAAUUCAGACAAACUCCGAAUGCCAAUUAAUUUAACUUGGGAGUCAGAACAUGGGUGAUAAGGUCCGUGUUCGAAAGGGAAACAGCCCAGACCACCAGCUAAGGUCCCAAAAUAUAUGUUAAGUGGAAAAGGAUGUGGCGUUGCCCAGACAACUAGGAUGUUGGCUUAGAAGCAGCCAUCAUUUAAAGAGUGCGUAAUAGCUCACUAGUCGAGUGACACUGCGCCGAAAAUGUACCGGGGCUAAACAUAUUACCGAAGCUGUGGAUUGUCCUUUGGACAAUGGUAGGAGAGCGUUCUAAGGGCGUUGAAGCAUGAUCGUAAGGACAUGUGGAGCGCUUAGAAGUGAGAAUGCCGGUGUGAGUAGCGAAAGACGGGUGAGAAUCCCGUCCACCGAUUGACUAAGGUUUCCAGAGGAAGGCUCGUCCGCUCUGGGUUAGUCGGGUCCUAAGCUGAGGCCGACAGGCGUAGGCGAUGGAUAACAGGUUGAUAUUCCUGUACCACCUAUAAUCGUUUUAAUCGAUGGGGGGACGCAGUAGGAUAGGCGAAGCGUGCGAUUGGAUUGCACGUCUAAGCAGUAAGGCUGAGUAUUAGGCAAAUCCGGUACUCGUUAAGGCUGGAGCUGUGAUGGGGAGAAGACAUUGUGUCUUCGAGUCGUUGAUUUCACACUGCCGAGAAAAGCCUCUAGAUAGAAAAUAGGUGCCCGUACCGCAAACCGACACAGGUAGUCAAGAUGAGAAUUCUAAGGUGAGCGAGCGAACUCUCGUUAAGGAACUCGGCAAAAUGACCCCGUAACUUCGGGAGAAGGGGUGCUCUUUAGGGUUACGCCCAGAAGAGCCGCAGUGAAUAGGCCCAAGCGACUGUUUAUCAAAACACAGGUCUCUGCUAAACCGUAAGGUGAUGUAUAGGGGCUGACGCCUGCCCGGUGCUGGAAGGUUAAGAGGAGUGGUUAGCUUCUGCGAAGCUACGAAUCGAAGCCCCAGUAAACGGCGGCCGUAACUAUAACGGUCCUAAGGUAGCGAAAGUUCCUUGUCGGGUAAGUUCCGACCCGCACGAAAGGCGUAACGAUUUGGGCAUUGUCUCAACGAGAGACUCGGUGAAAUCAUAGUACCUGUGAAGAUGCAGGUUACCCGCGACAGGACGGAAAGACCCCGUGGAGCUUUACUGUAGCCUGAUAUUGAAAUUCGGCACAGCUUGUACAGGAUAGGUAGGAGCCUUUGAAACGUGAGCGCUAGCUUACGUGGAGGCGCUGGUGGGAUACUACCCUAGCUGUGUUGGCUUUCUAACCCGCACCACUUAUCGUGGUGGGAGACAGUGUCAGGCGGGCAGUUUGACUGGGGCGGUCGCCUCCUAAAAGGUAACGGAGGCGCUCAAAGGUUCCCUCAGAAUGGUUGGAAAUCAUUCAUAGAGUGUAAAGGCAUAAGGGAGCUUGACUGCGAGACCUACAAGUCGAGCAGGGUCGAAAGACGGACUUAGUGAUCCGGUGGUUCCGCAUGGAAGGGCCAUCGCUCAACGGAUAAAAGCUACCCCGGGGAUAACAGGCUUAUCUCCCCCAAGAGUUCACAUCGACGGGGAGGUUUGGCACCUCGAUGUCGGCUCAUCGCAUCCUGGGGCUGUAGUCGGUCCCAAGGGUUGGGCUGUUCGCCCAUUAAAGCGGUACGCGAGCUGGGUUCAGAACGUCGUGAGACAGUUCGGUCCCUAUCCGUCGUGGGCGUAGGAAAUUUGAGAGGAGCUGUCCUUAGUACGAGAGGACCGGGAUGGACAUACCUCUGGUGUACCAGUUGUCGUGCCAACGGCAUAGCUGGGUAGCUAUGUGUGGACGGGAUAAGUGCUGAAAGCAUCUAAGCAUGAAGCCCCCCUCAAGAUGAGAUUUCCCAACUUCGGUUAUAAGAUCCCUCAAAGAUGAUGAGGUUAAUAGGUUCGAGGUGGAAGCAUGGUGACAUGUGGAGCUGACGAAUACUAAUCGAUCGAAGACUUAAUCAA
rnacentral:rRNA from 1 species